rnacentral:lncRNA from 1 species
AUGUCUAUGGUGGAGGCUGCCUGGUCUGUGGAGUUGUGCACGGCAGCCCCAGCAGACCAGAACAAUCUGCACUUCCCUGAGCGUUGCCUUUUAACAUGUGGGCAUCUUUAUCCUUUCAGCCUUUCCCAGCAGGUCAGAAUCUGUUUUCUUACCUCUCUGAGUGGAAUUAGUUUGUUGGCAGAGAGGAAUCACCUCUUCCACAGGGAUUUGCUCCAGCACACAGUGGAAAUUAGUUGCAUCACCUCACUCAUACAAAGCACUUUAAUUGCUUGUGAAAAACACACAAUACAAAGUAGAGACUUGGAGUUCCCCUCGGGGCACAGUGGAAACGAAUCUGACUGGGAACCAUGAUGGGAACUACUACUUCAUGAUCUUCAAGUAGCUCCUCAUACAGUAUUAACUAAUUAAACGGGGAAAACAGCAACUUUCUAGAGGAGAAACCGGCAGACGGCACUCGAUUACGUGAUCACAGUUUACGUCACCUCGAUGUCACGUGAACAUCACGGACCACUGAGAGGAUGUGCUAAGAAGGAUAUUGUUGUAUGCUUGACAAAAAAGCACACCUUCCCUCUGACCCCGAGAAAAUACCAGGCAGCCCCAAAGUGAGGAAUAUAGUGAAACAUAACUAACCAGAACUCUUCAAAGGUGUCAAAGGCUGACUGAGAAACCAUCUCGCAGGCUGGUGGAGGCAGAGAUGUGAUGGCUAAAUGCAGUGUGGGAUCCUGGCCUGGGUCCUGGUGAGAACAAGGACAUCCGUGGGUCUGCUUCUGACACAGAUUCUGAAAUGUGAGUUUUUCUCCACACCACCAAGCAAUGAAUUCAAUUCUGACACUGUCCCCCUGGAGAUAGCACUGGAUCCCACAGGUUAAGGGCUCGGUCCUGCAAGACUCCCCACCCACUUCGGAUGCCAAUUACAAGUCCAGGUUGUCACCCAUGCUCCUGAAGUCUCCCGGGACCCCCUCCUGGGGUUCCAUUGAUUUGCUAGAGUGGCUCCCAGAACUCAGGAACAAUUCACGGAAGGAUAUAACUCAGGCGCAGCCAGGGGGAAGAGAUGCAUCAGGUGAGGUGUGGGGAAACAGCCAGCCACCCUCUGCAUGCUCCACUCUCCCCAGAUCACAUGUUCAUCGGCCUGGAGGUUGUCCUCACCCAUCCUUCUGCGGUUUUUAUGGAGGUUUCAUUACAGAGGCAUGAUGGAUUAAACCACUGGUUGUCGGGGAUCUCCAGCCCCCCUCUCCUCCCUGGAGUUAGGGGAUGGACAACGCUCUAAUCAUAAGUUUGGUUUCCCUGGCAACCAGUCUCCAUCCUUAGGUGACCUAUGGGCUUUCCAAAUGUCACCUCAUUAACACAACAAAAGGCAACUUUAUGCUUUCAUAGCAGAAAAUUCCAAGGGUUUUAGGAGCUCUGCGCUGGGUAUGGGGACCAAGACCAAGUAUAUACUCAGGGCUGCAUCCGAGGCACAUGGAGGUUCCCAGGCUAGGGGUCAAAUCAAAGCUACAGCUGCUGGCCUAGGCCACGGCCACAGCAAUGUGGGAUCCGAGCCGCAUCCUCAACCUACACCUCAGCUCACAGCAACGCUGGAUCCCCAACCCGAUGAGCGAGGCCAGGGAUAGAACCCACAUCUUCAUGGAUCCUAGUUGGGUUUGUUAACCACUGAGCCACAAAGGGAACUCCAUGUAUUUUGUAUAAUAAAUCACAACAUCACAGUGGAAAAAUUGGUGAA